rnacentral:rRNA from 1 species
GACGAACGCUGGCGGCGUGCUUAACACAUGCAAGUGGAGCGACGAACCGGGGCUUGCCCCGGGGCAGAGCCGCGAACGGGUGAGUAACACGUGGGUAACCUGCCUCAAUGAUUGGGACAACCCGGGGAAACUCGGGCUAAUACCAAAUGUGUUCACUCCUUCCAAGGGGAGUGAGGAAAGGAAGCUUCGGCCUCCGCAUUGAGAUGGGCCCGCGGCCCAUUAGCUUGUUGGUGAGGUAACGGCUCACCAAGGCUUCGAUGGGUAGCUGGUCUGAGAGGACGAUCAGCCACACUGGGACUGAGACCCGGCCCAGACUCCUACGGGAGGCAGCAGUGGGGAAUCUUGCACAAUGCGCGAAAGCGUGAUGCAGCAACGCCGCGUGGGGGAAGACGGCCUCGG